CAGUCGCCACGGUAAUACGAAGGGUGCAAGCGUUACUCGGAAUUACUGGGCGUAAAGCGUGCGUAGGUGGUGGUUUAAGUCCGUUGUGAAAGCCCUGGGCUCAACCUGGGAAUUGCAGUGGAUACUGGGUCACUAGAGUGUGGUAGAGGAUAGUGGAAUUUCCGGUGUAGCAGUGAAAUGCGUAGAGAUCGGAAGGAACAUCUGUGGCGGAGGCGACUAUCUGGGCCAACACUGACACUGAGGCACGAAAGCGUGGGGAGCAAACAGGAUUAGAUACCCGCGUAGUCCCUGUCUCUUAUAC
rnacentral:rRNA from 1 species